rnacentral:lncRNA from 1 species
GGGGUAUGACAGCUGAUCCUAUUUAAAUAUGUUCGACUAGAGAAUAUGAAGAAGGUCAUUCUUAAUAUGAUCAUAAUGGGAGAUAGUUAAAUCAUAAAGGACCUAAAUUUUGUCCCUUGAUGAACCGAAAUGAAAUGCCAUGAGAUGUUAUGAACUUAUGAAGACUUCUUUUUUUCUUUUGCUAGGGAUACAAUGUGAUAUAAG